GAUGAACGCUGGCGGCGUGCCUAAUACAUGCAAGUCGAGCGAACAGACGAGGAGCUUGCUCCUCUGACGUUAGCGGCGGACGGGUGAGUAACACGUGGAUAACCUACCUAUAAGACUGGGAUAACUUCGGGAAACCGGAGCUAAUACCGGAUAAUAUAUUGAACCGCAUGGUUCAAUAGUGAAAGACGGUUUUGCUGUAACUUAUAGAUGGAUCCGCGCCGCAUUAGCUAGUUGGUAAGGUAACGGCUUACCAAGGCAACGAUGCGUAGCCGACCUGAGAGGGUGAUCGGCCACACUGGAACUGAGACACGGUCCAGACUCCUACGGGAGGCAGCAGUAGGGAAUCUUCCGCAAUGGGCGAAAUCCUGACGGAGCAACGCCGCGUGAGUGAUGAAGGUCUUCGGAUCGGAAAACUCUGUUAUUAGGGAAGAACAAAUGUGUAAGUAGCUAUGCACGUCUUGACGGUACCUAAUCAGAAAGCCACGGCUAACUACGUG
rnacentral:rRNA from 1 species